rnacentral:rRNA from 1 species
AUUGAACGCUGGCGGCAGGCUUAACACAUGCAAGUCGAGCGGAGAUGAGGUGCUUGCACCUUAUCUUAGCGGCGGACGGGUGAGUAAUGCUUAGGAAUCUGCCUAUUAGUGGGGGACAACAUUCCGAAAGGAAUGCUAAUACCGGAUACGCCCUGAGGGGGAAAGCAGAGAUGCGCUAAGGGAGAGGCCCGCGGCAGAUUAGGUAGUUGGUGGGGUAAAGGCCUACCAAGCCUGUGAUCUGUAGCUGGUUUGAGAGGAUGAUCAGCCACACUGGGACUGAGACACGGCCCAGACUCCUACGGGAGGCAGCAGUGGGGAAUAUUGGACAAUGGGGGAAACCCUGAUCCAGCAAUGCCGCGUGAAUGAAGAAGGCCUUAGGGUUGUAAAGUUCUUUUGUCCGUGACGAUAAUGACGGUAGCGGACGAAUAAGCCCUGGCUAACUCUGUGCCAGCAGCCGCAGUAACAC